rnacentral:rRNA from 1 species
GAUGAACGCUAGCGAUAGGCCUAACACAUGCAAGUCGAGGGGCGGCACAAGGUAGCUUGCUAUCUGGGUGGCGACCGGCGCACGGGUGCGUAACGCGUAUGCCACUCGCCCUAUACAGGAGGAUAACCCGUCGAAAGACGGACUUAUACUGCGUAUGCUCACACCUUGGCAUCCAGUGGUGAGGAAAGAAAUUCGGUAUAGGAUAGGCAUGCGUCCCAUUAGCUUGUUGGUGAGGUAACGGCUCACCAAGGCAACGAUGGGUAGGGGAACUGAGGGGUUUAUCCACUGCACUGGUACUGAGACACAGACCAGACUGCGACGCGAGGCAGCAGUGAGUAAUAUUGGUCGAGGAGGGCGAGCGUGAACCAGCCGAGUCGCGUGAGAGAUGACUGUCUUAUGAAUUGUAAACUUCUUUGAAAGAGGAAUAACAAGAGUCACGUGUGACGCCCUGCAGGUACCGUAUGAAUAAGCAUCGGCUAACUCCGUG